GUGUUUGUUGUGUUUUUGGUGUCUUCUGUGUGGUCUUAUCAUGUUUGUGUUGUUUUGUUAAAAUGGGCGUUUGGUGCGAAUUGUAUGUCGCAUUUAGUUCUUCAUAGUUCGUUCCGGUCCAAGAUGAUUUUCUUUCUGCCAUUAGCAAUACAUUAUAUGUACACAUUUACUGCGCUGUGAUUAAUUUGUUUUACGUUUUCCAUCAGUUUUAGAUAACUGCAAAGAUAUGUCAUGAAAUUUUCAGACGACAGAUAUUGGGUGCAGGCGAGAUCAGGAUUGAACACGCGAAGGCUGCAAAGACAUGCCUUGAAAUAUGCAGACGACAGACAUGCGGUGCAGACGAGAUCUGGGUUGAACGCGCGAAAUUGUUUUAUUUUGUUUCUGCGUUUACUCUUUUUGUUUUGCAUUUCUUGUUUCUACUAGAAUGCUGGGGUAUGUAUACUUGAAGAAAAAAGACGCAGACGGACAUGGAAAUGCAGACCAAGCAAAAUGUGCGUUUGUCUUAUGAUGAACAGGUAUGUAAAUUGCUACUUAUGUUAUCCUUUUUUAUGCAUUUUUACAACCUUAGUGGCUGAUGUUUACAAGCACCUGUGAAUAUAUUAUGUUGUAGACAAUGCAAUGGUUUAGCGGAUGGUGCAGCUAUUGUACAUGAUAUUGACUACAAGCACGCGCGUGGAUGUCAUGUUGUAGAUUCACAUUGGUUAAGUGGAUUCUGCAACUUGAUCCUUUUUCUAAGUAAUUCUGGAGCGUGGGAAUGUGCAUUCAACUUCUGGCUAUGGUGAAAGUAAAACUCCACGUAUCGGACAAGAAACUCAAACCUAUUCGAUGAGAAACUCGGGCUAUCGGGGGAGGAACCCGAACUAUCCGACAGGAAGCAGUUUCCUGUACCAUACACG